rnacentral:lncRNA from 1 species
GCCGCUGCCGGUGCCGCACCCGCGCCCUCUGCCGCCGCCGCCGCCGCCGCCCGGGGUCUCCAGGCUGAGGAGUGCGUCGGCCGCUGCCCAGCAGCGCCGCGAAUCGGGGAGCGGAGCCGCGGAGCCGGCGGGAGGGCGGGCGGGCGGGCGGACGGGCAGGUCUGGAGGUUUGUGGAACCCAGUCCCCUGCAGAAUCUGUAAAACCUAAUAAAUCAUGGUUGUGGCCAUUCUCACGGUGGUGAUUGUGAUUAGACGACCCCCGGGAAGCCCAGACACUCGGGGCCUGGAGUUCCUCCCCCUGCCUGACCUAGAAGCAGAACCGUUUUCAGCGCUCUGCCCUGUUGGCUUUAAGGCUUUGUCUUAAUUUAAGGAAAAAGAUCCUCCCGGGUUUUAUUUCUCUCUUUCUUGAGUGGACUGUUUCCCUAUAAUUAAAAGAGGUGGUGAGUCCUGGGGCAGCUUCCGCGCCUCCCUGUCCACGUGCUAACAGAUCAGGACGCCCCCAGCACCCCUGCCUGCUUUUGCUGGUGGCAGUGACGGGACCCCGACUCCUCACUCUCGGGCCGCAGACAAUGCUGUGAGCAAGUGUGGCCAUGGGCACAGAAUGUCCCUUUGGACGCCGCUGCUGGGGGCUGCCAGGGGCCCUCUGGGGUCGUGCUUUGAGGCCCGUCCGGUUCACGAGGGGGUCCGGGCAGCACUGACUGCUUCCGACCUGCAGGAGGCGUAGGAGCGGCCCUGCGGGCCCUUUCACGGCAGCUGCUGCUGUAUAGAUUUGUCUCCACUCAGUGACGUGGGAUUUUUUUGUCUUCCUUUUGGCUUUAUUUUUAAACUGCUUUAGAUAUUACUGCUCAGUGUUUGUGAACUUUCCUAGUUCUCUAUGUUGUUAGUGCAGCCAGCACCCAGUGGGGACCUACUAGAAAAAGGAACUGGCAUGCACACGUGCCCAGCAGGAAAAGCUUCGUCUUCACGUCGGCUGCUGCCAUCCAGAAGAGGCCCUGGAGCCUCACGCCGUCGAGGCUGCUCUCAGGCGUUCUGUUCCGGGCGAGGCUUGUGCUGCAAGGAAGGGCACCAGCAUGCAGGCUGCCACUGGAGGGUCCGGGUGCUGCGGGCAGAGUUCAGCGCUUGUCCACCCUCCCUUAGCUCUGACUCAGUGCAUCCUACUGUGGGGACAUCUCGUGAGGGGACACGAAAUGACUGAUCUCACCCUUUCCCAGUAUUCAGAGCUGUGAACCCCUGUGGCGCAGGACUGGCCUGUGUCUGUUAUUUUGGUUGUAAAUCAUUCUCCUGUGGAAUUGGCAAAAGCUACAUUUUUACUGUCCUUACCAGCAACAGUUUGCGUCGUCACAUGCUGUGAGUGUGGGCUGUGGUGUGUCCGUGUGUGUACAUAUGUGUAUAUGUAUAUAUCACGCAGCAGGAGUGUCAUUCAUGCUGCUGUCCCCUGGUGAAGUGACAAGUACAAUUAAAGGUGGCUCUGAAAUGGCCUCUGGUUUCUUGGGAGUCGGGCAGGGACCUGCAGGAGGCUUUCCCAGCAGGUGCACAGAAGGAAGCGCUGAGCCCACUGUGUGCAGAGGGUGUGUGCCCAGGGCACUGCCACGGCCCCCACCAGCAUUGGCCUCUGCUCUGCAGGGUGGGGUGCCCAUCCUGGGGGCUGUGUGUCAUGCUCACCUGACCCAGGUGUGUGUCCCGGUGUGAAAUCGAGGAGGGGACUGGAAGCCCUUCCCUGCCUUGAAACAUGAAAGCUGAUUUUCUGAGCAGCAGAUACGGUCAGUGGCAAAGCUGCAUCUGAAGGGCGGCCUGGGAAGGGGCCCUGUGCUGGCCCCGGGUCCGCCCCAGAGGAGUCCACACAGCACCACCUCCAGAAGGGGCUGGGCCCGGGGUCCUGCAGGCGGCACCUUUUGGUAGAGUUUGUUUCCCUGGAAAAUGGGGAAAAUGUUUCAAGCCAGGUGAGGGGGGAAGUUAACACUGAAAUAUGUAUUGUUUUUAAAAAUCAAAUGCACACGCAUGGAAGCUGCUUGUCCAUGCACUGGUUUUGUCACUGGCGUCCUGGAAUCCGACCGUGUUGGGGUGCAGGCGCUGUCAGACUCCGGCUGAUCCUGGCUCGAGCACACACAUCUAAGGGCCAGGCUAAAGCUUUAUUUAUUUUAUAAAAU